rnacentral:rRNA from 1 species
UACGUAGGGGGCUAGCGUUGUCCGGAAUCAUUGGGCGUAAAGAGCGUGUAGGCGGUCCGGUAAGUCCGCUGUGAAAGUCGGGGGCUCAACCCUCGAAUGCCGGUGGAUACUGUCGGGCUAGAGUACGGAAGAGGCGAGUGGAAUUCCUGGUGUAGCGGUGAAAUGCGCAGAUAUCAGGAGGAACACCUAUUGCGAAGGCAGCUCGCUGGGACGUCACUGACGCUGAGACACGAAAGCGUGGGGAGCGAACAGG